rnacentral:miRNA from 9 species
CAUCUUACUUUACAGCAUUAGA